GGUUAAGCGACUAAGCGUACACGGUGGAUGCCCUGGCAGUCAGAGGCGAUGAAGGACGUGCUAAUCUGCGAAAAGCGUCGGUAAGGUGAUAUGAACCGUUACAGCCGGCGAUGUCCGAAUGGGGAAACCCAGUGCAAUUCGUUGCACUAUCGUUAACUGAAUACAUAGGUUAACGAGGCGAACCGGGGGAACUGAAACAUCUAAGUACCCCGAGGAAAAGAAAUCAACCGAGAUUCCCCCAGUAGCGGCGAGCGAACGGGGAGCAGCCCGGAGUCUGAAUCA
rnacentral:rRNA from 1 species